UACAGAGGGGGCAAGCGUUGUUCGGAAUUACUGGGCGUAAAGCGCGCGCAGGCGGUCCGUGCGGUGCCGCGUGAAAGACACGGGCUUCCCCCGUGUUCGGCGUGGCAAACCAGCGGACUCGAGCCUCGGAGAGGUCGGUGGAAUUCCGGGUGGAGCGGUGAAAUGCGUAGAGAUCCGGAGGAACACCAGAGGCGAAAGCGGCCGACCGGCCGAUGGCUGACGCUGAGGCGCGACGGCGUGGGGAGCAAACCGG
rnacentral:rRNA from 1 species